GUGUCACUAACCUCGGUGCAAAGUGUCGUUGAUGCUGGAUGCUCAAAUGACAUGGUAUCCGGAGACUGGAUUCUCUGCACUUUCGAGAGAUUUUUCCAUCCCGGAUUGAAACUUGUUUCCAUCCAUGGCCACCUAACCUGAAUUUCUUUGUCCGGUGAUGGCUGCGGGCGUCGUUGAUCGGGGAUGGAGGAAACCGGAUGACACCUGGUAGUGCUGUCAAGGAAGGUUCGGCGAGAUUGACCCAUUGGAGACGCUUUGAGCGGCCGGCUGGAAGUAAAAGGGGAUGGAGGGAGGGAGGGAGCUGUCAAGUUGGCUGGGGGACUGUAUUCGUGACGCAUACGAAUGGAACCGAAUCGGACGGCGGAGAUCGCACGGCGCCCAUCCCUGGCCAGUGGAAGUGCCGGCGAUGGGACGAGCCGGAGCUCCCUGUACGAAGGGACCAAAAUGCACGGUCGUUGGGCGCCUUUAACCGCCGUUUGUCUUGGGUCACGAUCAUGAGGAGGUGCACACCAAACGUGAGCCAUCGAGCAGUAGCAGGAAAACUGAGGGGGAAAAGAAAGGGAGAGCUAGGCGACGGUGCGCCAGCAACCCUGGACCAACAGGGACGCUGUAGCUAGUGCGUCAGCCAUCACCCUGUCAUCGUGCGGAACAAGAUGCACAGAUGCAUGUACCUGCCCUCAGCUUUAGGCCUAUCCUACUCCGGCCACAGUUUACCAAUUCACUGAACCGUCCCGUCCUUCUCUGGAGAUCGGUCGGAGACGGCUAUGGAGUGGUCUCGGGACUAUGUGGACCGAUGGGAUCGAUCACGGGAAGCAUUCCACCCAUGUGUAUACAUGGAUGAUUUGCAACAGUAGCGCCCACGGCCUGAGGGCAACUCAGCGCACGACCCGUGGCAAACGGACACGACCAUCCGCUUGCGGUCGUCGGUGCGCCCAAACAGCCCGC